rnacentral:lncRNA from 1 species
GUCAUUCAAGGCUGCAAGUCACUCAAGGGCAAAGAUUGAGCCUGUUCCCUUCCUCUCCUCAACAGACGGCUCAGAAUCACUCAGCUGUAUUCACCAUUUUGUCUUUUGCUGAAAUUUUCCACCCUUCAUGGCUGUGUCCUCUUUCCCCAGCACUGAAACUGGUUACACUGAGAUGGAAGGAGGAACUGGAAGAGGGAAGAUUAACCUUUCACUGGCCACAAUGCCUAGCCUCUUAUUGAGGAGGAUUCAGCAACCCAACCCCCUCCAAUCCAGCCUAUCUGUCUGAAUUGCUGAAAGCAUAAUGCUCCCAUAUGAGAGAUAAGGGGAAAAGGCUUCAUCUCACACAGAAAUAUGAUGUCCUUUACUGCCAGAGGCUGUUGCUGUUUCAAAUGAGGAAAAAGCACAAUGCAUGAAGAAGGAAAAUUAAAGCAUAUUCAUUUUGGAAAUUAGAUACGGUGUCAGGAGACUUUCUGGAAAUAGCAUGGUUUGAAUAGAGCAAAAGGCUACAAGACAGUUCACUGAACUUUUGACCACUAUUUAUACUAUGGAAGCUCUUGAAAUGGGAAGAUGGCAAAGUAUUUUAUAGCUGUUUAAUAAUGGAUUGUGGAUUUUAUGAGAUAUUUAUCUUCUCUUUGAGUGUAUAUAAGGUAAGCAAACGUUAUGUAGCGUAAUUGUAUUGCAUUGGGAGCACUUUAAUUUAGGGCUGGUUGAUUUUCCCUGCGAUGCAUCUCUCAAGCAGCAAAGCCCUGUUCGAUGCCACCUGAAUGCCUGGCCUCAUCCCUGAAGUGCUGCUGGGGUUGCUUGUGGGGGGCCAGAAUGGACCUGAGGGAUGUUUAGCUGCUUGUUACAUGGGGAAGAAUGUCUAAAACGGGUGGCCGGGGCCUUGGACUGUCUGAAAAGCUCAAGUAACUCCUAGCUCUAGACUGACUUAAACUAUCUCUCAUUUCAGUAUACUGAAACUCGUUUUAAUCUUGUAUAAUAGUUGUAGACCCUCUGUAGCAUUUCGGAUACACUAAACAAUGUAACCUAUCCAGGGUUAGCAGCUAACUCAUUACAAUGAUAACAAUGCGUCACCAGGCAGACAGGUAUGUGAGAAAUAUCGUUUGCAAAAAACAAAAAAUGCGUUUGGAGUAUUUUUAGGUCCUAUUAAAUCAGGCAGUUCUUCUUGCAAAAAUUGUGUAAAGAUCAGAAUUUUGGUGUAACCCUAAAGAUCCCAGUCUUGGAGCAGGUUAGCUUGAGAUGCUGCUUUUCCUUCUCCCUUCCAUUUAAGCGUGAAUGUAGCUCAGGUUGGCAGGAGGAAGGCUGUGCUACGGGGUCGGGGACAGCUGCCCUCAGACAGCCCACCUCCUGUGGCUGCGGGUUCAAAGGCAGUUAUGCAGCACUGUGGUAGCUGUGCAUGGUGCUAUUUUCUUCCCACCCUCCCCUGGAGACAAUCAUAAAAUGGAUCUACUGUUUCUUAAAACUGUGAAGCACUACAAUAAAGUUGUUUUCAUUCUUUUUCUUUUUUCCA